ensembl:lncRNA
GAAAAAUUUUAUUGGUUUUAUUCUCUUUACAUAACUUACUACAUAAUCUCUAAAUCUGAUUGUCAGAAAAAUCUUAUUUAAAGCUCCAGUUCCAAAGAAACAUGCCAUUUGAAAAUAAAAACAAACAAAUCCAGUGUCCUUUUACAAAAUCUUACUCACGACACAGUCGCGUUUUGCUUUCAUGCCCAUCUGAUAAGGUGCACAGUAGCACAAAGUAGUAAAGUAGUAGUACCCUUUAAAGAUCUGAGAACCAUUUUUAAAAAACUCAAGCGGAACGACAAAAUCCCAACACCUUACAUACAUACAGUACAAUUUCAUUGUCUUCUGUGAGUUGUUCUGAGUCAUGGUGUCAUUGUACUCUAGGAAUAAUGGAAGCAGGUCACAUCCUACAGCUGAUGACACAUAUCUGUUUAAAACGCUCUGUUACUCAAAAAAACUGACAUAAAUAUAAUUCAUAACACAAGAGCACUUAUUAACAUGGUAAGGAAUCUCAGAGCUUGAAGAUCCCUCUGUUAUGAUUCAAGUUGUAUCUGAGCCCUGCUUUAUCUUCUCUGUCAUUCUCCAAUGCUCACAUCAGUGAGACACAGUUCUGAGUGUGAAGAUGAGGUGUGAACCGGCUGAUGCGUGUAAACAUCAGGUUCUUCUCAGUUUUGCCUAGUCUGAAUCACCCAGUGAGACAGUAUUCUCAGAUAAAUCUUCAUUAAUUUGCUAUUAACCUAACUGAAAGGGAAGAUGAAAGGUGUCUUUGUGUGUGUGUGUGUGUGUGUGUGUGUGUUGUUCAUGUGUACUAGAAUGACCAGAUGAAACUGAGAAACAUUUCUUCUAUACUAGAAUCCAAUAUGAAAAAAGCAGGCCACUUUCAAAAGCUCACAUUGCAGACUGGCUCUUAAUUUAAUCGAUCAUAGGCAUACACACACACACACACACACACACACACACCUAUGUCACAGACACUGGCUUCAAAGGAAAAGUUUAAAUUGACUUAUUAUACUAGUCAUACUAGUUAUACAGCUCAUUUAUCGUGUGAGGCACAUCAUAUGCACAGUAUGUUGUUAUAUAUGGUGAUUAUCAGCUAUUAUAUACACACACAAACACACACACACACACACACACACACACACACACACACACACACACACACACCUCAGUAGUGCACAGAUGAGACACUCAGACUAAUAAACCGGUUGUUAAAAAACAAACAAACCUGAAUACGCUCUAAUCAUGUACCAGCAUUAUGACAAAAAUGUUCAAGCGAUUCAAACAGCUCAAGUAUUAAAUAUAAAUGAUAAAUUACAUCCCGUACAUUUGCUGUGAGGACAGCUUUCAUGGUCAGACUGUCAGAAGAUAAGAAGUUAAGCCUUAUAUGUAAUUGUACAACAGUGUGCAAGCACAGUGCCUACUACACCGUACUACCUGUCAUGAGGAAAGUUUCAAGGUCACCGUGUUACUGCAAAUAGCUUCCCGAAACUAGCGAGUCUUGGACGGUAGCAUGACAGCCCAUUUUCU